rnacentral:rRNA from 1 species
AUUGAACGCUGGCGGCAUGCCUUACACAUGCAAGUCGAACGGCAGCACGGGGGCAACCCUGGUGGCGAGUGGCGAACGGGUGAGUAAUAUAUCGGAACGUACCCUGGAGUGGGGGAUAACGUAGCGAAAGUUACGCUAAUACCGCAUACGAUCUAAGGAUGAAAGUGGGGGAUCGCAAGACCUCAUGCUCCCGGAGCGGCCGAUAUCUGAUUAGCUAGUUGGUGGGGUAAAGCCUACCAAGGCAUCGAUCAGUAGCUGGUCUGAGAGGACGACCAGCCACACUGGGACUGAGACACGGCCCAGACUCCUACGGGAGGCAGCAGUGGGGAAUUUUGGACAAAUGGGGGGCAACCCUGAUCCAGCAAUGCCGCGUGAGUGAAGAAGGCCUCGGUUGUAAGACUCUUUUGUUCUAGGGAAGAAACGGUUAGGGGCGUAAGU